AUUGAACGCUGGCGGCAGGCUUAACACAUGCAAGUCGAGCGGGGAAGGGUAGCUUGCUACCUGACCUAGCGGCGGACGGGUGAGUAAUGCUUAGGAAUCUGCCUAUUAGUGGGGGACAACAUUCCGAAAGGAAUGCUAAUACCGCAUACGCCCUACGGGGGAAAGCAGGGGAUCUUCGGACCUUGCGCUAAUAGAUGAGCCUAAGUCAGAUUAGCUAGUUGGUGGGGUAAAGGCCUACCAAGGCGACGAUCUGUAGCGGGUCUGAGAGGAUGAUCCGCCACACUGGGACUGAGACACGGCCCAGACUCCUACGGGAGGCAGCAGUGGGGGAUAUUGGACAAUGGGCGAAAGCCUGAUCCAGCCAUGCCGCGUGUGUGAAGAAGGCCUUUUGGUUGUAAAGCACUUUAAGCGAGGAGGAGGCUACCGAGAUUAAUACUCUUGGAUAGUGGACGUUACUCGCAGAGUAAGCACCGGCUAACUCUGUGCCAGCCGCCGCAGUAAUAC
rnacentral:rRNA from 1 species